UGAAUACGAGAUGCUACGGCGUUAAGCAGUGUAUGUCAUACUUCCAAGAAAAGCUCGCUAUGUCAUAAACAAUUAAUGCCUGUACCAUAACCGACACAGGUGGGUAGGUAGAGUAUACUAAGGGGCGCGAGAUAACUCUCUCUAAGGAACUCGGCAAAAUGACUCCGUAACUUCGGGAGAAGGAGUACCUUAUUUAUAAGGUUGCAAUAACAAGAUCCAAGCAACUGUUUACCAGAAACACAGGUCUCCGCUAAGUCGUAAGACGAUGUAUGGGGGCUGACGCCUGCCCAGUGCCAGAAGGUUAAAGAAGUUGGUUAGCAUUCGCGAAGCUGAUGACUGAAGCCCUGGUGAACGGCGGCCGUAACGAUAACGGUCCUAAGGUAGCGAAAUUCCUUGUCGGGUAAGUUCCGACCCGCACGAAAGGCGUAAUGAUUUGGAUACUGUCUCGGAGAGGGGCUCGGUGAAAUAGACUUGUCUGUGAAGAUGCGGACUACCUGCACCAGGACAGAAAGACCCUAUGAAGCUUUACUGUAACUUGAGAUUGAAAUUGGACUUUAUUUGUGCAGUAUAGGUGGGAGGCGUUGAAGAAAUUCUUGCGGGAAUUUUGGAGCCAUCAGUGAGAUACCACCCCUAUAAUGUUAGAUUUCUAACUUUGUAUCAUUAUCUGGUCAAAGAACAGUUUCAGGCGGGCAGUUUGACUGGGGCGGUCGCCUCCCAAAUGGUAACGGAGGCGUACAAAGGUUUCCUCUGAACGGGUAGAAAUCGUAUCUAGAGUAUAAAGGCAUAAGGAAGCUUGACUGUGAGACCUACAAGUCGAGCAGGGACGAAAGUCGGUCUUAGUGAUCUGACGGUGCUGAGUGGAAAGGCCGUCACUCAACGGAUAAAAGUUACUCUAAGGAUAACAGGCUGAUCUCCCCCAAGGGUUCACAUCGACGGGGAGGUUUGGCACCUCGAUGUCGGCUCAUCGCAUCCUGGGGCGGUAGUACGUCCCAAGGGUUGGGCUGUUCGCCCAUGAAAGCGGUACGCGAGCUGGGUUCAGAACGUCGUGAGACAGUUCGGUCCAUAUCCGGUGUAGGCGUUAGAAUAUUGAGAGGAGCCUUCUUUAGUACGAGAGGACCGAGAAGGACAUACCUCUGGUGUACCAGUUAUCGUGCCAACGGUAAACGCUGGGUAGCUAUGUAUGGAGUGGAUAACCGCUGAAAGCAUCUAAGUGGGAAGCCCACCUCAAGAUAAGUAUUCUCA
rnacentral:rRNA from 1 species